rnacentral:rRNA from 1 species
CCAAUAGCGUAUAUUAAAGUUGUUGCAGUUAAAAAGCUCGUAGUUGAAUUUUGGGUCUGGCCGGGCGGUCCGCCCUCUGGGUGAGCACUGUUCCGACGUCGGGCCUAUCCUUCUGGUGAGUCGGCAUGUCCUUUAUUGGGUGUGUCGGGGAACCAGGACCAUUACCUUGAAAAAAUUAGAGUGUUCAAAGCAGGCGUAUGCUCGGAUACAUUAGCAUGGAAUAAUGAAAUAGGACGCGUGGUGCUAUUUUGUUGGUUUCUAGAACCGCCGUAAUGAUUAAUAGGGAUAGUUGGGGGCAUUAGUAUUCAAUUGUCAGAGGUGAAAUUCUUGGAUUUAUUGAAGACUAACUUCUGCGAAAGCAUUUGCCAAGGAUGUUUUCAUUAAUCAAGAACGAAAGCUAGGGGAUCGAAGACGAUCAGAUACCGUCGUAGUCUUAACCAUAAACUAUGCCGACUAGGAAUCGGGCGAUGUUAUUCUCAUGACUCGCCCGGCGCCUUAUG